GAGGAAUAUUGGUCAAUGGGCGAGAGCCUGAACCAGCCAAGUAGCGUGAAGGAUGAAGGCUCUAUGGGUCGUAAACUUCUUUUAUAUGGGAAUAAAGUUUUCCACGUGUGGAAUUUUGUAUGUACCAUAUGAAUAAGGAUCGGCUAACUCCGUGCCAGCAGCCGCGGUAAUACGGAGGAUCCGAGCGUUAUCCGGAUUUAUUGGGUUUAAAGGGAGCGUAGGUGGAUUGUUAAGUCAGUUGUGAAAGUUUGCGGCUCAACCGUAAAAUUGCAGUUGAAACUGGCAGUCUUGAGUACAGUAGAGGUGGGCGGAAUUCGUGGUGUAGCGGUGAAAUGCUUAGAUAUCACGAAGAACUCCGAUUGCGAAGGCAGCUCACUAGACUGUUACUGACACUGAUGCUCGAAAGUGUGGGUAUCAAACA
rnacentral:rRNA from 1 species